rnacentral:rRNA from 1 species
GACGAACGCUGGCGGCGUGCUUAACACAUGCAAGUCGAGCGGUAAGGCCCUUUCGGGGGUACACGAGCGGCGAACGGGUGAGUAACACGUGGGUGACCUGCCCUCAGCUCUGGGAUAAGCCUGGGAAACCGGGUCUAAUACCGGAUAUGACUCCAUGACGCAUGUUGUGGGGUGGAAAGCCUUGUGCGGCUGAGGAUGGGCCCGCGGCCUAUCAGCUUGUUGGUGGGGUGAUGGCCUACCAAGGCGACGACGGGUAGCCGGCCUGAGAGGGCGACCGGCCACACUGGGACUGAGACGCGGCCCGGACUCCUACGGGAGGCAGCAGUGGGGAAUCUUGCGCAAUGGGCGAAAGCCUGACGCAGCGACGCCGCGUGAGGGAUGACGGCCUCGG